CGGCGAGUGAAGCGGCAAGAGCUCAAAUUUGAAAUCUGGCCCCCUCGGGGUCCGAGUUGUAAUUUGCAGAGGAUGCUUCGGGUGCGGUCCCCAUCUAAGUGCCCUGGAACGGGCCGUCAUAGAGGGUGAGAAUCCCGUCUGGGAUGGGCGGCCGCGCCCGUGUGAAGCUCCUUCGACGAGUCGAGUUGUUUGGGAAUGCAGCUCUAAGCGGGUGGUAAAUUUCAUCUAAAGCUAAAUACUGGCCGGAGACCGAUAGCGCACAAGUAGAGUGAUCGAAAGAUGAAAAGCACUUUGAAAAGAGAGUUAAACAGCACGUGAAAUUGUUGAAAGGGAAGCGUUGUCCACCAGACUCGCCCGGGGGGGUUCAGCCGGCACGUGUGCCGGUGUACUCCUCUCCGGGCGGGCCAGCAUCGGUUUGGGCGGCUGGUGAAAGGCCCCGGGAAUGUACCACCCUUCGGGGUGUCUUAUAGCCCGGGGUGCCAUACAGCCAGCCUGGACCGAGGCCCGCGCUUCGGCGAGGAUGCUGGCGUAAUGGUGGUCAACGGCCCGUCUUGAAACACGGACCAAGGAGUCUAACAUCUAUGCGAGUGUUCGGGUGUCAAACCCGUCCGCGCAGUGAAAGCGAACGGAGGUGGGAGCCCCUCGGGGCGCACCAUCGACCGAUCCUGAUGUCUUCGGAUGGAUUUGAGUAAGAGCAUAGCUGUUGGGACCCGAAAGAUGGUGAACUAUGCCUGAAUAGGGCGAAGCCAGAGGAAACUCUGGUGGAGGCUCGCAGCGGUUCUGACGUGCAAAUCGAUCGUCAAAUUUGGGUAUAGGGGCGAAAG
rnacentral:rRNA from 1 species